GAUGAACGCUGGCGGCGUGCCUAAUACAUGCAAGUAGAACGCUGAAGGAGGAGCUUGCUCUUCUGGAUGAGUUGCGAACGGGUGAGUAACGCGUAGGUAACCUGCCUGGUAGCGGGGGAUAACUAUUGGAAACGAUAGCUAAUACCGCAUGACAACAGUUAUUGCAUGAUAACUGUUUAAAAGGGGCAACUGCUCCACUACCAGAUGGACCUGCGUUGUAUUAGCUAGUUGGUGAGGUGACGGCUCACCAAGGCGACGAUACAUAGCCGACCUGAGAGGGUGAUCGGCCACACUGGGACUGAGACACGGCCCAGACUCCUACGGGAGGCAGCAGUAGGGAAUCUUCGGCAAUAGACGGAAGUCUGACCGAGCAACGCCGCGUGAGUGAAGAAGGUUUUCGGAUCGUAAAGCUCUGUUGUAAGAGAAGAACGAGUGUGAGAGUGGAAAGUUCACACUGUGACGGUAUCUUACCAGAAAGGGACGGCUAACUACGUG
rnacentral:rRNA from 1 species